ACUCUGCAAACGCUACGGCUUUGCAGGUCGGCUUUUCAACAUGUGGUCAGCCGGCACUGUCCUCCUUCGGGAAAUACGCUACACGGUCUGGUAUAGCGUCUAGUAGCACGUCGAACGGCGCGGCCAGC
ncrna:unclassified sequences RT-10 RNA